ACUAGAAAGAAUGCUUGCGUUUGAGCCUAAAGAUCGUCCUACUGCUGAGGAGGCACUUUCGGAUCCGUAUUUCAAGAAUUUGGCUAAGGUUGAGAGGGAACCUUCUGCUCAACCGGUAACUAAAAUGGAAUUUGAAUUUGA